rnacentral:rRNA from 1 species
UCGAGAAUUUUUCUCAAUGGGCGAAAGCCUGAAGGAGCGACGCCGCGUGGGGGAUGAAUGGCUUCGGCCCGUAAACCCCUGUCAUUUGUGAACAAUGUGCCGCACCUAACACGUGCUGCAUUGAUAGUAGCGGAAGAGGAAGGGACGGCUAACUCUGUGCCAGCAGCCGCGGUAAUACAGAGGUCCCAAGCGUUGUUCGGAUUCACUGGGCGUAAAGGGUGCGUAGGCGGUCGGCAAAGUCUGACGUGAAAUCUCCGGGCCUAACCCGGAAACUGCGUUGGAUACUAGUCGGCUAGAGGAAUGGAGGGGAGACUGGAAUACUUGGUGUAGCAGUGAAAUGCGUAGAUAUCAAGUGGAACACCAGUGGCGAAGGCGAGUCUCUGGACAUUUCCUGACGCUGAGGCACGAAAGCCAGGGGAGCAAACGGGAUUAGAUACCCCCGUAGUCC